rnacentral:rRNA from 1 species
AUUGAACGCUAGCGGGAUGCUUUACACAUGCAAGUCGAACGGUAGCACGAAGAAAGCUUGCUUUCUUUGGUGACGAGUGGCGAACGGGUGAGUAAUGUAUCGGAACGUACCCAGUAGCGGGGGAUAACUACGCGAAAGCGUGGCUAAUACCGCAUACGCCCUACGGGGGAAAGGGGGGGGAUCGCAAGACCUCUCACUAUUGGAGCGGCCGAUAUCGGAUUAGCUAGUUGGUGGGGUAAAGGCCCACCAAGGCGACGAUCCGUAGCUGGUUUGAGAGGACGACCAGCCACACUGGGACUGAGACACGGCCCAGACUCCUACGGGAGGCAGCAGUGGGGAAUUUUGGACAAUGGGGGCAACCCUGAUCCAGCCAUCCCGCGUGUGCGAUGAAGGCCUUCGGGUUGUAAAGCACUUUUGGCAGAGAAGAAACGACUCUGGAUAAUACCCGGGGUUAAUGACGGUAUCUGCAGAAUAAGCACCGGCUAACUACGUGCCAGCCGCCGCCGUAA